GACGAACGCUGGCGGCGUGCUUAACACAUGCAAGUCGUACGGUAAGGCCCUUUCGGGGGUCCACGAGUGGCGAACGGGUAAGUAACACGUGAGUAACCUGCCCACAACUUUGGGAUAACGCUAGGAAACUGGUGCUAAUACUGGAUAUGUGCUCCUGCUGCAUGGUGGGGGUUGGAAAGCUCCGGCGGUUGUGGAUGGACUCGCGGCCUAUCAGCUUGUUGGUGGGGUAGUGGCCUACCAAGGCGGCGACGGGUAGCCGGCCUGAGAGGGUGACCGGCCACAUUGGGACUGAGAUACGGCCCAGACUCCUACGGGAGGCAGCAGUGGGGAAUAUUGCACAAUGGGCGCAAGCCUGAUGCAGCAACGCCGCGGGCGGGAUGACGGCCUUCGGGUUGUAAACCGCUUUCAGCAGGGACGAAGCUUUUUGUGACGGUACCUGCAGAAGAAGCACCGGCUAACUACGUG
rnacentral:rRNA from 1 species